AGUGAACGCUGGCGGUAGGCCUAACACAUGCAAGUCGAACGGCAGCACAGAGGAGCUUGCUCCUUGGGUGGCGAGUGGCGGACGGGUGAGGAAUACAUCGGAAUCUACUCUGUCGUGGGGGAUAACGUAGGGAAACUUACGCUAAUACCGCAUACGACCUACGGGUGAAAGCAGGGGACCUUCGGGCCUUGCGCGAUUGAAUGAGCCGAUGUCGGAUUAGCUAGUUGGCGGGGUAAAGGCCCACCAAGGCGACGAUCCGUAGCUGGUCUGAGAGGAUGAUCAGCCACACUGGAACUGAGACACGGUCCAGACUCUUACGGGAGGCAGCAGUGGGGAAUAUUGGACAAUGGGCGCAAGCCUGAUCCAGCCAUACCGCGUGGGUGAAGAAGGCCUUCGGGUUGUAAAGCCCUUUUGUUGGGAAAGAAAUCCAGCUGGCUAAUACCCGGUUGGGAUGACGGUACCCAAAGAAUAAGCACCGGCUAACUUCGUGCCAGCAGCAGCCGCGG
rnacentral:rRNA from 1 species